UACGAAGGGUGCAAGCGUUACUCGGAAUUACUGGGCGUAAAGCGUGCGUAGGUGGUUCGUUAAGUCUGAUGUGAAAGCCCUGGGCUCAACCUGGGAAUGGCAUUGGAAACUGGCGACCUAGAGUGCGGUAGAGGGUAGUGGAAUUCCCGGUGUAGCAGUGAAAUGCGUAGAGAUCGGGAGGAACACCAGUGGCGAAGGCGGCCAUCUGGAUCAACACUGACGCUGAGGCACGAAAGCGUGGGGAGCAAACAGG
rnacentral:rRNA from 1 species